GUCUAUAACCAUGCUACCCUGAACAAGGCCGAUCUUGUCUGACCUCAGAAGCUAAGCAGAGUUGGGCCUGGUUAGUAGUUGGAUGAGAGACCACCUAGGAAGACCAGGUGCUAUAGACA
ensembl:rRNA 5S_rRNA 5S ribosomal RNA